rnacentral:rRNA from 1 species
CCCUUAGAUGUUCUGGGCCGCACGCGUGCUACACUGAGUGGAUCAGCGGGUCAGGUUGCGCGAAAGCGUUUCCUAAUCUUGAAAUCCGCUCGUGAUGGGGAUUGACGGUUGCAAUUUUCUGUCAUGAACGAGGAAUACCUUGUAAGCGCGAGUCAUCAUCCCGCGCUGAAUACGUCCCUGCCCUUUGUACACACCGCCCGUCGCUCCUACCGAUUGAGUGGUCCGGUGAGGCUUUGGGAUCUGAGCGGAAAGAGCGUUUCGCUCGUUCUGCCCGGAAAACUCAGUCGAACCUUAUCAUUGAGAGGAAGGAGAAGUCGUAACA